rnacentral:rRNA from 1 species
CAGCAGCCACGGGAAUACGUAGGGUGCAAGCGUUAAUCGGAAUUACUGGGCGUAAAGCGUGCGCAGGCGGUUUUGUAAGUCUGACGUGAAAUCCCCGGGCUCAACCUGGGAAUUGCGUUGGAGACUGCAAGGCUGGAGUCUGGCAGAGGGGGGUAGAAUUCCACGUGUAGCAGUGAAAUGCGUAGAGAUGUGGAGGAACACCGAUGGCGAAGGCAGCCCCCUGGGUCAAGACUGACGCUAAUGCACGAAAGCGUGGGGAGCAAACAGGAUUAGAUACCCGCGUAGUCCCUGUCUCUUAUAC